AUUUAUAUAGUUUAAUAAAAACAUUACAUUUUCAUUGUAAAAUUAGAAAUUUUUCUUAUAAAUA
rnacentral:tRNA from 1 species